GUCAGUCUGACCAGUGACAGGAUGUGAUGUCACUAAUGGUCAGUCUGACCAGUGACAGGAUGUGAUGUCACUAAUGUUCAGUCUGACCAGUGACAGGAUGUGAUGUCACUAAUGGUCAGUCUGACCAGUUACCGGAUGUGAUGUCACUAAUGGUCAGUCUGACCAGUGACAGGAUGUGAUGUUACUAAUGAUCAGUCUGACCAGUGACAGGAUGUAAUGCUGACUGCCUAGUGGAACCAUGUUAUAGUGUGUCGUUUCAGAUAAAAAGCUGUUGUGAUUUAAACUGUGUAGUCUGUCUGAACUGGUAUCCUGUGAUAAUAUAGUGCACUAGCCCCCAGCACCCUGGUCAAAGUAGGGCACUAGCCCCCAGCACCCUGGUCAAAAGUAGGGCACUAGAUCCCAGCACCCUGGUCAAAAAUAGGGCACUAGCCCCCAGCACCCUGGUCAAAAGUAGGGCACUACACACACAGUCAGCUGAAUUCUG
rnacentral:lncRNA from 13 species